rnacentral:rRNA from 1 species
UACAGAGGUGGCAAGCGUUGUUCGGAAUUACUGGGCGUAAAGGGCGCGUAGGCGGCCUUCUAAGUCAGACGUGAAAUCCCCAGGCUUAACUUGGGAACUGCGUCUGAUACUGGGAGGCUUGAGUGCGGGAGAGGGAUGUGGAAUUCCAGGUGUAGCGGUGAAAUGCGUAGAUAUCUGGAGGAACACCAGUAGCGAAGGCGGCACUCUGGGCCGGUACUGACGCUGAGGAGCGAAAGCGUGGGGAGCGAACAGG